GAACUGUUUGAAUUGGCAGAAUGGUAAGUAAAGUGAAAGACUUUUUUCCUCCUUUGUUCAUCUGUCUCAUUGACCCUUUCUUUCAGAGAAGAAUUCAAAAACAACUUGGAUCUAUGAAGAAAUAUCUGGAACAAAGAAAUCCUGCAAGUGAAAAGAAGUCCUACAACUGGGAAAGACCAAAAAACAGCCAGUGUAACCACAGUGCUGGAUUUUCUAUGGAGAUAACCACUGUCGACAAAGCUCCUGUGUUCCUUCGAUUAACAUACUGUAGGUGGAAGCCAAAAACACUGGAUAAUGGAAAGAGUGGACAGACUUCAUUCAAACUUUUCCUCUAAUACCUUGCCAGUGUCAGAGGCCAGGGGAGUGUCUCACUGUGACUGGCAUUGCCCACAGCCUCCAUCCUGGGGAUUUACUUCCAGCAUCCUCUCAUCUCCAUGUCUACCUCCUCCUACAGUGGCACAGCUCUCAAAUGGAGGGUCUGCUCUUACAGAGCAUGGUGGGCACUCUGAUUUCUAGCAGUAGUGGGUAAAGUUCAGUGACUUGCA